UGGAAGCAGUCCGAUGACACCUCCACAUGU
rnacentral:piRNA from 1 species